UCAGGAGUAGCUCAGUUGGUAGAGCAAGCGGCUGUUAACCGCUGGGUCGGGGGUUCGAGUCCCUCCUCCUGAGCCA
rnacentral:tRNA from 1 species